UAAGGAAUAUUGGACAAUGGAGGCAACUCUGAUCCAGCCAUGCCGCGUGAAGGAAUAAGGCCCUAUGGGUUGUAAACUUCUUUUAGACGGGACAAAACCCCUUUACGUGUAAAGGGUUGAUGGUACUGUCAGAAUAAGCAUCGGCUAACUUCGUGCCAGCAGCCGCGGUAAUACGAAGGAUGCAAGCGUUAUCCGGAAUUAUUGGGUUUAAAGGGUGCGUAGGCGGACUAAUAAGUCAGUGGUGAAAGCCUGCAGCUUAACUGCAGAAUUGCCAUUGAUACUGUUAGUAUUGAGUACAGUUGAGGUAGGCGGAAUGUGUCAUGUAGCGGUGAAAUGCUUAGAUAUGACACAGAACACCGAUUGCGAAGGCAGCUUGCUAAGCUGUAACUGACGCUGAGGCACGAAAGCGUGGGGAGCAAACA
rnacentral:rRNA from 1 species